AUGAGGCUACCAAAGUCCAAGGGUGGUAUGGGUUUCCGUGACAUGCGAGCCUUUAACCAAGCGCUGCUCGCAAAGCAGGCUUGGCGACUCCUUGAUAAUCUGGAAAGUUUGUAUGCACGAUUAUUACGAGCGAAGUACUAUCCUAAUGGGAAUUUAUUGGACACAGUAUGUAUAGGAAACUCUUCAGCAGUGUGGAAAGGAAUUGAACAUGGUCUGGAACUGGUUAAAAAAGGCAUCAUUUGGCGGUUUGGAGAUGGUUCAUCGAUACGUACUUGGAGGGAUCCUUGGAUUCCUCGAGGCGAUAACUUUCGGCCUGUCACACCGGAAGGGAACUGACGAUUCAACCGUGUGUCUGAUUUUCUUGAUGAUAAUGGUGCUUGGAUGGUGCAACGCUUGUAUGACAAGUUUUGGCCGUUGGAUGGUCGUGAAAUUAUGAAAAUCCAUACUUCACCGAGACAACAUCAAGAUUUCUUUGCCUGGCAUCCAGAGAAGAACGGGAGUUUUUCCGUGAAAAGUGCGUACUACCUGGCGAUGGCCGUGCAUAAUGAAGAGUUCACCGGCAAGGCAUCGAGCACUAGUCCCGACGGGAAUCGAUCCAUUUGGAAUCUUAUCUGGAAUUCUUGUGUUCCUUUACGCAUGAAACAUAUGGCUUGGCGAGCAGCGACUGGUGCAUUGGCUACUACGGCGUGCAUGCAGUAG
rnacentral:rRNA from 1 species